GGUCAAUGCCGCAUGCUUACCAUGCAGUCGAACGGCAGCGGGCCCUUCGGGGUGCCGGCGAGUGGCGAACGGGUGAGUAAUGCAUCGGAACGUACCCGGGAGUGGGGGAUAACCGGCCGAAAGGCUGGCUAAUACCGCGUGAUCUCGGAAGAGCAAAGCGGGGGACCUUCGGGCCUCGCGCUCUCGGAGCGGCCGAUGUCCGAUUAGCUAGUUGGUGAGGUAAAGGCUCACCAAGGCGACGAUCGGUAGCGGGUCUGAGAGGACGAUCCGCCACACUGGGACUGAGACACGGCCCAGACUCCUACGGGAGGCAGCAGUGGGGAAUCUUGGACAAUGGGCGCAAGCCUGAUCCAGCAAUGCCGCGUGGGUGAAGAAGGCCUUCGGGUUGUAAAGCCCUUUCGGUGGGGAAGAAAUCGGCCGGGCGAAUAGUCCGGUCGGAUGACGGUACCCGCAGAAGAAGCACCGGCUAACUACGUGCCAGCAGCCGCGGUAAUACGUAGGGUGCGAGCGUUAAUCGGAAUUACUGGGCGUAAAGGGUGCGCAGGCGGUUCUGUAAGACCGGUGUGAAAUCCCCGGGCUCAACCUGGGAAUUGCGCUGGUGACUGCAGGGCUAGAGUACGGUAGAGGGGGGUGGAAUUCCUGGUGUAGCAGUGAAAUGCGUAGAGAUCAGGAGGAACACCGAUGGCGAAGGCAGCCCCCUGGGCCUGUACUGACGCUCAUGCACGAAAGCGUGGGGAGCAAACAGAUUUAGAUACCCUGGUAAUCCACGCCCUAAACGAU
rnacentral:rRNA from 1 species